CGCUUUCCAGCCGAUUUCAAACUCGCGGGACCUGCAGUACUCCACGGCGUUUCAGCCACGUUGGAUUCCAGGUUCGCUCGAUCCAGAGAGCAUUACCCUUUCACGUUGAUCGAUACCUGCGCCGCUGCUACGAUCUUUCCGCGUAGGAACCGUGAAAUUACGUCCUGGCGCACGUAGCAUCUGGAUAUAAGCACUCAGACUCAGCAGGAAUCUGUGCAAAGGUAAGAAAGCCGGAGAGAGGAGAAGAGCAGGGUCUUCUUUAACUGAACGGAGAAAGCGGACUCGGGAUCAACCAUUCCCUCAGUCAGGCACAUGUGAAACACGCACGACACACAAGAACAAGAACAAGAACCGCGGACCAAGCACAGCACACUCCGCAGCCAAGCAUCAGUGAAGGAACAGUUAGGGAUAGACAGUGAGCGGAGGAAGUUGAAGAGUGCGAUCGCAUCCUGUCAUUGAAUUACGCGUGAAAGUCAGCUGGUUCGUCAUGUAUGUCCGACAGAUAGAUCUCCUCCGCGGUCGACGGAGCUCGAUGGAGCUGCAAGGUGACCAGAAUGCAACCCCG